rnacentral:rRNA from 1 species
GACGAACGCUGGCGGCGUGCUUAACACAUGCAAGUCGAACGGAAAGGCCCUGCUUUUGUGGGGUGCUCGAGUGGCGAAAGGGUGAGUAAAAAGGGAGUAACCUGCCCUUUACUUUGGGGUAACUUCAGGAAACUGGGGCUAAUACCGGAUAUGAGCUCCUGUUGCAUGGGGGGGGUUGGAAAGUUUGGGCGGUUGGGGAUGGACUCGCGGCUUAUCAGCUUGUUGGUGGGGUAGUGGCUUACCAAGGCUUUGACGGGUGGCCGGCCUGAGAGGGUGACCGGCCACAUUGGGACUGAGAUACGGCCCAGACUCCUACGGGAGGCAGCAGUGGGGAAUAUUGCACAAUGGGCGGAAGCCUGAUGCAGCAACGCCGCGUGCGGGAUGACGGCCUUCGGGUUGUAAACCGCUUUCGCCUGUGACGAAGCGUGAGUGACGGUAAUGGGUAAAGAAGCACCGGCUAACUACGUG